rnacentral:rRNA from 1 species
GAUGAACGCUGGCGGCGUGCUUAAUACAUGCAAGUCGAGCGGACAGACGAUAAGCUUGCUUCGCGCAUGUGAGCGGCGGGCGUGUGAGUAACGCGUGUAUAACCUACCUAUAAUACGGAUAUAUCUUGGAAAAAGCGGAGAUAAUAGGGGAGAAGAUUUUGAACCGCGGUGGGCGAAGGUGAAAGACGGUCGUUCUGUCUGGAAUAGAUGGAUCCGCGCUGCAUGAGCUAGUUGUUAAGGUAACGGGCUACCAAGGCAACGAUGCAUAGGCGACGUGAUAGGGUGAUCGCCCACACUGGAGGUUGACCAGCGUCCAGAGUACUAAGGGAGGCAGCAGUCGGCAAUCUUCCGCAAUGGUCGAAAGCCUUGCGGAGUAAGGCCGAGUGAGUGACGGAGGUCUUGGGAUCGUAAAACCCUGUUAUUAGGGAAGAACAUAUGUGUACGGAACUGUGGCCAUCUUGACGGUACUUAAUCAGAAAGCCCCGGCUAACUACGUG